CUUCCCUGUUUUGGUUUAGAUUUUUGGGCUGGGAGUAAGCGAUUGCUUUACCUUCCCUGUUUGUUUUCGAAAUGAGCUGUAGUUAAUGAUGUAUUGUGUGAGUUGCUUUGUGAUCAUGUGUCAAAAUUUUCCUUUGCUAUUCUUUGGUUUUUGUUCCUAAUCUUGGAGGAUUUGUUAUGGGUUAUUAACUUAUUAUGGGUUAGCUUUGCGUAAUACUUAUCUGAUAUAAAGUAACUUAGAUUUUAAGAUGAGGAUGUGAUGCGCUGCAUACACUUGGAAUGUUAAUAGUGGGUGAUUUUUAUUGGUUAAUUACCAAACUGUAGAAGAGGUAACACUUUUGUUUUAAUGGAAAUAGUCUCUCAAAUAUUUAUAGUUUCAGAUACAUAUGCUGCCUGCCAGUUAGUAUGGCAGUGAAGAUGGUCAUCCAAAUUCAGACAUUUCACUUUGAAUAAAUCCAUCAUUUUUACAGAAACCCUGCAAUCAUGAGAAUAUUCUUCCUGCAAUAAAGAAAAUUUCUCCACUCAAUUUAUACAUGUAUCAUGCAUGACAGAACCGUAGAGAUGGAAUAAUCAUAAGGAAUAGAACAAAUAUAGCAGGUUUCAAGUCAUUCUUCCAUAUUCUAAAGAUGCAAAAAAGAAUAUUAUGUGGCCAAAGGAAAAACGUGCAACUUACUGUAAACGCCACAAUCAUCAUAUUUUCUCUAGAGAUUGUUAAGUGAUGCCAUGGCUAACAUGUAUUCCUUUUCUUGCAAGAGAGAAUCAUGUUUCCUAGCGGAUGUUGUCUUUACAUUAUAAGCUGUUUUGUUGCUUGACUUUUUUAUUCUUUGCACAUCCCUUUCUCUGUCAUUUUUGUCUUGAAAGGAGUAUAUGUCAUGUAUUGACUCCAUGAAAUGAUUUUAGAAAGGGAAGAAUUAUGCUGCUUUGAGGGUAAGUCUUAAAAUUCAUUCUCUAUGAGAUGAUUUUAGACCUGGAAGAAUCAUGCUGCAUUUAGGUUGAAAGGGAUUUAGAUAAGUAGUAGUAUAGAAUAUAAGAAAGCUUUAAGUUGAAGCUUAAUUUAAUGAUGGGAAGGAAUAAAAUAGCAUAAGAAGUUCUCCAUAUCAGAAGUAUUUUAAAUAAGAAGGAACAAUGAGCAGGAGUAGCCAUCGUUGAACGCAUUUGUAAGUGAAAAUUCCGCCUUCUGCCGUCUCCCUCUCCGCCCCCGCCGGUGUAUUUGCCCUAUUUUGAAAGUCGUUCACAAUCGCUGCUCCGGCCGCCGUCGAUCGUCUCCGGUUAGUGUUUGCCCCGCCCCCUGCUCUGCCGCCGGAGAUCAUUCUCUUUCAAAAUCAUUAGUGACAUUGUAAAUAUCUGUAUCAUUUCUUUCAAAAUCAUUAGUGUUGAACCAUUUAUCUUUUUAAUAUUAUAUCUUUGUCAUCAAACUUUACUUGCUUAUUUUUGUAAUAUUAUUGCCGAUUUUUAGGUGAA